ACCUGGCUGACUCAGUGGGUAGAGCACAUGACUCUUGAUCUUGGGUCGUGAGUUAGAGCCCCAUGCUGGGCA
rnacentral:tRNA from 1 species